rnacentral:lncRNA from 1 species
ACAUGUUUAUCUUUGUUUAAAUAAGUUUUUUAGCACGGAGACUUCCGUGCUUCUAGGUUAUUUUUCUUGUUGCGACUUUCGAAUCGUCGAUCGGCUCCGUUAAACUUGAUCUAGAGUAUUUGAAGUAUCUAGAAAAUAAAUUAUGUGAUUUUUCGAUAUUAUUGCCUAGUGAACGAAGGGGCUUAAAAUCAACGGCUGAAAAUAAAAAUCUUACAAAACGUGAUAAUAUGAUAUUAAAAUUUUAGAUCAAAGAUAUUGAUUUUAUUUUAUAUAGUAUAAAGAAUUUUCUAUCAAAAUUUCACGUGAUUUGUAUAUUUCUAUACCGUUAAACUUGCAUAUAGCUCACUACGGCCAUUAAAAUUAGUUAAUUUUGAGUCCUUUUGAUCACUAGGCAAAUGAUAUCGAAAAAUCAUAAAAUUUAUUUUCUAGGUACUUCAAAUACUCUAAAUCAAGUUUAACGGAGCCGAUCGACGAUACGAAAGUUGAAACAUUAAAAAUGAUCUGAAAGCACGGAAGGGUCCGUGCUUUCAGAAGCAUAGUAGCCUCGCACGGAUUUUCUUGAAUUUAUGUUGUUGUUUAGG